AUUUUUUCCUCUCUCUCUUAUCUAACAUCACUCUCUAUGUCUCCAGACUGCCUCGAAAAAUCCGCUUCACACACACCAUCACCUACAACAAUGUCUUCUCCGGCGACUAUCCUCACCACCAACCAACAAGCCACUCAACCCGAACUACCAAUAAACUCUCAGCCUUCCGCACAUUCAUAUCCCGACUCACCACGAUGGCCUCUUUUAACGCCACACAUGGAUUGGAACUCAUAGAUCAGAGGUCAUUUGCUAAACCUGAUCGCUUCAAGCUUCACCCCUUCAUCUUUGUCUUGCUCCGUCGUGGCCGUCGUCCACGGCUAGUUCGAACCACGCUGUGGACAUGUUUUGUCUUCUUUGUUCAUCUCCGCCAUCGACUAAAAACGAAACCACCACGAACGUCUCUGUCUCAAGCUUCCGUUUCUCCGCCGCAAAUCGUCGCAUCUGUCUCAGAUCACCGGACCAUCUCCGUCUCGUCUUUCUCUGCCGACUUUGUCAUGCUUGGAUUCAAGCCUCGCUGUCGUUCUCGUUCUCAUCCUCCCGUCUCUGUCUCGUUACGGAAGAGAUUGAGAAACAAUGGCGAUUUCUUAUGUAUUGCAACACAAGCCCUCAAACCUUUGGAUAUUCUCGAGUUGGUCCCAAUAUUUCCAAGUAUACAAAUAGCUUCACGAAUCGUCCACAUACUUUCAGAUUCUAUAUUUCAAGCCCUUAAAGAAUCCUCCAAAUGGUCCUCAGAGUCUUAGAUGUUUUCAAUCUUAGAAUUCAUGUUACAAUACUGAGAUAAUUAGUGUAUAUUAUCGGCUAAAUAUAACCAAAAAAGACAAGUAAAAUAUUAACCGUUUAUUUCACAAAUUACAUCAUUAAUAGUAUAUAUUACCGGCUAACUAUAAUAAUCUCGAGGUAAUUAGUAUACAUUACCGGC
rnacentral:lncRNA from 1 species